CUCCGAGGUGUCUGAGGGUUGGUCUUGGUGGCCUGGGGUCCGGGGGCCGGGCCGGGAGCUGCCAGGGCUCCCACGUGCUGUCCCUGCGAGGGCUGCAGCCUCACACAGACAAUUCAGGACGGAGCGGGCUAAGGUCCAGAGCGCAGGGAAGAGGCCAAACUGCACAGAGGCGGGGCCUGCCGGACCCUUCAGAAUCCAGCCCCAAGCCUUGGCAGCACCUCUUUUUUGAGGUGCUGGGGCCUCGCACGUGGCAGACAAGCACUCUACGCUUUAGCUGUAUCCACAGUCCCGAGGCCCGUCUUUUUCACCAGCUCUCUCUGUCCCAGGAGGAUUCCACUAGCAAGCUGUCUUGGCAGAAGGGUUGUCCCUUCUGUCAAGGGUGUGCCUCUCCCACUGUCCUGUUCGGUGGGCUACACUGCAGGAUGCCACGCAGACCAGCCUGGCACCUGCGUCCCCAGGAACUUUGGCCAGGAGAGAAGAGGCGCGCUGGUCUGGUCCUAGGCGGGAGGGAGAGUCGAGGCCUGGAGCCCCGACAGCUGAGCCCCUGAGGCCCUGUGCCUUUGGCCUCUCCUUCACGCUCUACUUUUAGAAGACCCAGGGACUUCCGGCAGGGAGCAGCCUAUUUCGACACAGCCCAAAUGGAGCAGCGCGGGGCGGGCGGCGGAGCCGGUGGCGCGGGAAGUGUGUCUCUGUUGGCGGGCACCGAGUUGCCCGGAACUCACUAUCCUCCCCAGUGUUAAUUAUCAAAAUUAACCGAACACUAUAAAUAACCCAACUCGGAGACUUGAAGAGCCUCACUUCUAAUUAAUUCAUUUCCAAUCAAGACACUUCCUCGCCCCCCUACCCUAGAAUCUGAGGGAUGACCGUCCCCCCUCUCUGCUCCCCAGCACUGG
rnacentral:lncRNA from 1 species